rnacentral:rRNA from 1 species
UAACGACUCUCGGCAACGGAUAUCUCGGCUCUCGCAUCGAUGAAGAACGUAGCGAAAUGCGAUACUUGGUGUGAAUUGCAGAAUCCCGUGAAUCAUCGAGUCUUUGAACGCAAGUUGCGCCCCAAGCUGUUAGGCUGAGGGCACGUCUGCCUGGGUGUCACG